CCUACGGGCGGCAGCAGUGAGGAAUAUUGGUCAAUGGGCGCUAGCCUGAACCAGCCAAGUAGCGUGAAGGAUGACUGCCCUAUGGGUUGUAAACUUCUUUUAUAUGGGAAUAAAGUGCAGUAUGUAUACUGCUUUGCAUGUACCUUAUGAAUAAGGAUCGGCUAACUCCGUGCCAGCAGCCGCGGUAAUACGGAGGAUUCGAGCGUUAUCCGGAUUUAUUGGGUUUAAAGGGUGCGUAGGCGGACUGUUAAGUCAGCGGUAAAAGCCCGGGGCUCAACCCCGGCGAGCCGUUGAAACUGGCGGGCUUGAGAUGACGAGAGGUAGGCGGAAUACGCAGUGUAGCGGUGAAAUGCUUAGAUAUUGCGCAGAACUCCGAUUGCGAAGGCAGCAUACCGGAGGGGAUCUGACGCUGAGGCACGAGAGCGUGGGUAGCGAACAGGAUUAGAUACCCGGGUAGUC
rnacentral:rRNA from 1 species